CCUACGGGUGACAGCAGUGAGGAAUAUUGGUCAAUGGACGAGAGUCUGAACCAGCCAAGUAGCGUGAAGGAUGACUGCCCUAUGGGUUGUAAACUUCUUUUAUAUGGGAAUAAAAUGUUCCACGUGUGGUGUUUUGUAUGUACCAUAUGAAUAAGGACCGGCUAAAUCCGUGCCAGCAGCCGCGGUAAUACGGAGGAUCCGAGCGUUAUCCGGAUUUAUUGGGUUUAAAGGGAGCGUAGGUGGAUUGUUAAGUCAGUGGUGAAAUUGUGCGGCUCAACCGUAAAAUUGCAGGUGUAACUGGCAGGCUUGAGUGCAGUAGAGGUAGGCGGAAUUCGUGGUGUAGCGGUGAAAUGCUUAGAUAUCACGAAGAACUCCGAUUGCGAAGGCAGCUCACUGGACUGCAACUGACACUGAGGCUCGAAAGUGCGGGUAUCAAACAGGAUUAGAUACCCCAGUAGUC
rnacentral:rRNA from 1 species